rnacentral:rRNA from 1 species
UACGGAGGGUGCAAGCAUUGAUCGGAAUUACUGGGCGUAAAGGGCGCGUAGGCGGCUGUAAAAGUCAGAUGUGAAAUUCCGGGGCUCAACCCCGGAGCUGCAUUUGAAACUCUAUAGCUUGAGUACAGUUAGGGUAAACGGAAUUCCACGUGUAGCGGUGAAAUGCGUAGAUAUGUGGAAGAACACCGGUGGUGAAGACGGUUUACUGGGCUGUAACUGACGCUGAGGCGCGAAAGCAUGGGGAGCAAACAGG